CCCCCGCGCACCCGCACCGCACCGGCACCGCACCGGCACCGCACCGGCACCCCGGCUCGGCCCCGCGGAGCUCCGGAGCAGCCGGCACCACCCCCGCCCCGGCACCCCACCAUGAGCAACCUCAACAAGGACACCGAGCACACCAACGGCGGCGGCACCGUCGAGGAGGAGGUACGGACGCUGUUUGUCAGUGGCCUUCCUGUGGAUAUCAAACCCAGAGAGCUCUACCUUCUCUUCCGACCAUUCAAGGGUUAUGAGGGGUCACUGAUCAAGCUGACUUCAAAGCAGCCAGUGGGUUUUGUGACCUUCGACAGCCGGGCUGGUGCUGAAGCAGCCAAGAACGCCUUGAAUGGCAUCCGCUUCGACCCCGAGAACCCCCAGACCUUGCGGUUAGAGUUCGCCAAAGCCAACACAAAGAUGGCCAAGAGCAAGCUGAUGGCCACACCGAACCCCACCAACAUCCACCCUGCCUUGGGUGCACAUUUCAUUGCACGGGACCCCUAUGACCUGACUGGAGCGGCUCUCAUCCCAGCGUCGCCGGAAGCGUGGGCUCCCUACCCCCUGUACACCACGGAGCUGACCCCUGCCAUCCCCCACGCCGCCUUCACCUACCCGGCCGCGGCUGCCGCGGCCGCCGCUCUUCACGCUCAGUGAACUCCAGCCAUGAUGCCAGCGCAGGCUAGCCCCGAAGCUCAGAGCUGUCCCUGGAGAUGGGACGCCCUAGUGAUGCCUUAUUGCAGCUAGUGGAGUGGCUGUACUACAGCUCCAUUCCUAGAAGUGUUAAGCAUGAUGGCAGCCACGUCUGGAAAGACUGGUAAGAUGCGCUGGUAUCCUCCCUCUGAAGCUACCCAGCAAGGAUGGAAGUCUCGUCAGUUUUGUUAGUUCAUUAUGUCUCUCCUCGGCCUGUGUUCCUCCUCCCUGCCUCUCCGCAGAGGGAAGUGCCAGGGACCAUUUCCUCCUCCCUGCCUCUCCGCAGAGGGAAGUGCCAGGGACCAUUUCCUCCUCCCUGCCUCUCCGCAGAGGGAAGUGCCAGGGACGAUGGCUCCGGCUCCUCUGGAUUUGGUCCGUGGCCAGAGGACAAGGCGCCUGGCCCUGCCGCGCUGCCCCCGGCGCUGCCAGCACCCCUUUCCCUGGACUGUGAAGCCAUCGUGGCCCCAGCCAUGGGCUGUGCGCUGCCUCCACCCUCUCUCCAUCCAUCCAUCCAUCCCUCCCUCAGGCCACCCCCAGGACCUCCUCCCUGCCUGAGCUUUGCCAUCCGGCUGCACUGAAACCCAGCCGGGGGCCAGGUCCUGGGCUUCCCCAGGCUCUCCCUGCCCCGGGGGCAGCUCGGCUGAAGGAAUCGAAAGGCAAAAUGGGUUUUGCAUGUUUUCUGGCAUGAAUUAAAACACUUAACUUGUGUCUGUGUGAGUGUAAGUUUGUUUGUUCUAGCGUUUGUGUAACCGUUAGCAACAGGUCUUGGCCCAACGGAUUGAUCCAUCAAGGUUUUCCUCUUGCUUCGGUGAAGACUUGGCUUUGAGAAAUACUAACUGUCCUUGUCUCACCCCUUCUCCCACCUCCACCCUCCCCUCCCCAGGACGACCAGAAAAAUUUGAAAAAUGCUUUUUUUUUUCCCUUUUAUUUUUUUUUAAGUAUGAUGCACUGGGUUUUUGUUCUCAUCCAUUCUGCUUGUUUUAAAGUCAGGGUUAUUAUAUUAUUUUUUUCCUUCUUCAAACUUCUAUAUAUAGAACAGCUGUAAAAUUUCUAACCUCUUUUUUUUUCCCCACAUUCUUCUGAUUGGAGAGCAUCCAGUCUUGCCAAAUAAUCAGCCAUCCUUAUGGGAAUACCGAACAAAAAAAAAAGUACGAGUAUUUUUGUACCAUGUGUAAUAAGGAAAUAUUUAUGCAUCAUAAAGAAUUUCUUGUGUGUUUGUGUGCAAUUAAUUAUUAUUAUUAUUAAAGAGAAAUUGUAAUCCUGUAAGAUAAGUUAAUGUUUAGUUAAAAGCUUGAAAAAGCAGGGUUGUCUUCUGUACCAAUGAUUCAGUCAGGCAUAGUAAACAAGAAAUUGUGCAAUUUUUGUUUUAGCAUCUUAUUGCUUGGUAUUGAAGUGCUUUAAGUAUUAUCUGACCAUGGCUGUCUCGCUUGUAUUAAAAGAUUUGAGAAUAAGUUGCUCUAUAAUUGCUGAUCCUAUGAGAAUGUGAAACUGGAUAAUAUAUGAAAUGCAACCAAAAAAAAAAUAUAUAUACCCAGAGGCUGCUGUGA